rnacentral:rRNA from 1 species
AGCAGUAGCCACGGUAAUACAGAGGGUGCGAGCGUUAAUCGGAUUUACUGGGCGUAAAGCGUGCGUAGGCGGCUUUUUAAGUCUGAUGUGAAAUCCCUGAGCUUAACUUAGGAAUUGCAUUCGAUACUGGGAAGCUAGAGUAUGGGAGAGGAUGGUAGAAUUCCAGGUGUAGCGGUGAAAUGCGUAGAGAUCUGGAGGAAUACCGAUGGCGAAGGCAGCCAUCUGGCCUAAUACUGACGCUGAGGUACGAAAGCAUGGGGAGCAAACAGGAUUAGAUACCCCAGUAGUCCCUGUCUCUUAUAC